AUGAAGUUGAAAGUUUUUGGUGUUAGGGUUUUGAGGAGUGGAGCUUCUUUUAGUUCAAAUAUAGAUGUUGCUAUGUUGAUAGAGCUGCUCAGCUAUGGAUCCCUCAAUUCUACCCAUUUUUUUGUGUCUUGUGGUAGUUUUGUGGCUUCCAUAUCUAGGGAGACUUAUCAUCUUUUUAGUUUCAUCUUUCUUUGGAUUGAAGGGAGCUCUACACCUUCACUUCUUGUAUCCAAUUUUUUAAUAAAACAAGUAUCCACUUAUAUUUUAAUUGUAAUAUAA